rnacentral:rRNA from 1 species
AGCAGCCGCGGUAAUUCCAGCUCCAAUAGCGUAUAUUAAAGUUGUUGCAGUUAAAAAGCUCGUAGUUGAAUUUCGGGAUCAGUUGAUCGGUCGUGCCUCGGUACGUACUGGUCAAAUUGAUUCCUACCUUCUGACGAACCACGAUGUCAUUAAUUUGGUGUCGUGGGAAAUCAGGACUGCUACUUUGAAAAAAUUAGAGUGUUUAAAGCAGGCUCGCGCUUGAAUACAUUAGCAUGGAAUAAUGAAAUAGGACGUUUGAUUCUAUUUUGUUGGUUUCUAGGAUCGACGCAAUGAUUAAUAGGGAUAGUUGGGGGCAUUAGUAUUCAAUUGUCAGAGGUGAAAUUCUUGGAUUUAUUGAAGACUAACUACUGCGAAAGCAUUUGCCAAGGAUGUUUUCAUUAAUCAAGAACGAAAGUUAGGGGAUCGAAGACGAUCAGAUACCGUCGUAGUCUUAACCAUAAACUAUGCCGACUAGGGAUCGGAUGAUGUUAAUUUUUAAUGUACUCAUUC